CUUCAUGUUCUCUUGAAUCUCUUCUUCUCUGCAAAGCUCCAGCACGUGCUUCUCUUCUCAGUUCUCCCUAAAAAAGUCAUUAAUAAUUCGUAACUUCCUUUCUACUCGUCGGUUUGAUGAACGAUUUUUGCCUAUGGAUUUAGUGAGUCAAGCCGAACAAGUUUAGUGUUCUUGACUUCAAUCGAGAUUAAGGAGCAGUUUGGAGGAAUUCAAAGAUAAGUCAUGCCGCCUCGACAUCGUACAACUGGUUUAUUUGUAGAGGGCGCUAUCCCCGAUACUAAGCAACUCAUUAUUGCCAUAGCCCGCGCAUGUGGUCUAACUCCAUAUGAGGUAAUUGUUGCCAUAAGCCAGGCAGCCUAGGCAUGUGGUCUUACUCUACCUGAGAUAGCCCGGAGUCUUGGAGCCUAGAAUUUAGAUGGUGAUGGUGGUGGAGAACAAGCCGAAGGAUGGAUUGAGCAGAUGGAGCUAAUUCUUGACUCCAUGAGUUGCCCACUGGAGAAACGGGUUAUGACAGUGACCUUUUUCCUCACAGGCAGUGCAUGAGUAUGGUGGACUUCAUAAAAGUAAACCCUACCUAGGAACACGCCAAUUACUUGGGAGGUGUUCAAAGAAAAAAUUAAUGCGAGGUUUUUCACUCUUGAGUACAAGACCCGAAAAGAAAUGAGUUUUUAUAUCUGCAGCAGGGGAAUAUGAGUGUGACAGAAUAUGAGAGGAAAUUCAUAGAACUCUCAAAAUAUUGUAUUGCCAUAGCAAACAACUCGGUUGAGAUGUUGGCCCAGUUCUAUAUUGGUCUCAACAGGUACAUUAGGAGCAUAACCUCUUCAUAUGUUUACCAACUUACCAGGAAGAGUUCCAAGUGGCCCUGAGCAUUGAGCAAUCUUUUAGCAAAGAACCAAGUGAAGGAAGUAAUGUAGGUUUUGAGCCCAAGUGACAGAGGGGCCAAUUUCCUGUGGGUGGCUUGAAAUAGCAACCGUCAUUCAAAAGAAGUGGUCAGAGUUAUGGUUCCUCUAGCAGAGGUUUUAAAUCUGGUACCCCUCAAUCAGGAGGGCGAUCAUCAGGGAGUUCUUGUUUCUCACGCAGUGUACAAUCAGACAGUUACGGUAGAGUUGACUACCCUCUUUGUCGGCCUUGUAACCGACCUCGUGAGGGAGAAUGCAGGCAGGGCACCACUCAGUGCUUCAUUUGUAGACAAACUAGUCAUUUUCAAAAAGAGUGUCUGUUUGCAUAGCAGGAUGAAAGAAUGGCAUCAGUGAUUUCCUAGCUUACAGGUGCAUGGGAUGCGUCAUGUUAGCUUAAACUAGUGCAUGCUAUAUGUUUUUCAAAAUGGGGGUUAAGUUAACAUCUUUCAAGUGUCUCACCCCCAUGACCUAGUAGUUCGUGUGUAUGUCGAGGCAUUUCUAGCAA